ACUGUUUCGGCAAGGGGGUCAUCCCGACUUACCAACCCGAUGCAAACUGCGAAUACCGGAGAAUGUUAUCACGGGAGACACACGGCGGGGGCUAACGUCCGUCGUGAAGAGGGAAACAACCCAGACCGCCAGCUAAGGUCCCAAAGUCAUGGUUAAGUGGGAAACGAUGUGGGAAGGCCCAGACAGCCAGGAUGUUGGCUUAGAAGCAGCCAUCAUUUAAAGAAAGCGUAAUAGCUCACUGGUCGAGUCGGCCUGCGCGGAAGAUGUAACGGGGCUAAACCAUGCACCGAAGCUGCGGCAGCGACGCUUAUGCGUUGUUGGGUAGGGGAGCGUUCUGUAAGCCUGCGAAGGUGUGCUGUGAGGCAUGCUGGAGGUAUCAGAAGUGCGAAUGCUGACAUAAGUAACGAUAAAGCGGGUGAAAAGCCCGCUCGCCGGAAGACCAAGGGUUCCUGUCCAACGUUAAUCGGGGCAGGGUGAGUCGACCCCUAAGGCGAGGCCGAAAGGCGUAGUCGAUGGGAAACAGGUUAAUAUUCCUGUACUUGGUGUUACUGCGAAGGGGGGACGGAGAAGGCUAUGUUGGCCGGGCGACGGUUGUCCCGGUUUAAGCGUGUAGG
rnacentral:rRNA from 1 species